rnacentral:tRNA from 1 species
CGGUCAUUAGCGCAGCCUGGCUAGCGCACCUGUUUUGGGAACAGGGGGUCGUAGGUUCGAAUCCUGCAUGACCGA